GCCCUCCAGAUGGGCUAUGGCCGGGAAGAGGUCAGGGAGCAAGGGGGCCACGGGGAUCCGGGGCGUGGGACUCGGGCCCCGGCCUGAGUCUUAGGUAUCCGUAGCGCCCUCCUUCUUCCUCCUCUUCGCUGAAUACAGCUCACGGUAAGUACUGGUUCACACAGUUCGUUCUCGAGGUGCUCACUCUCUUUCUCUUCCUCCACAGGCAACGGCUGGGACACAAAAGCACAGUUAGUUCAGCUUGGUUUUGCUCUCACCUCUUCGCUGAUUACAGCUCACAGUAAGUACUGGUUCACACAGUUCGUUCCUUGGGUGCUCACUCGCUUUCUCUUUCUCCACAGGCAGCGGCGUAAGUACAGGUUUCCUCGGUCUCUCCUCGUGUUACCCACUCUCUCUCCUUUUCUCUCCACAGGUAUCAACUUGGACACAAAGCACAGUUACUCUGCUUUGGAUGGCUUUCACCUCUGGGCUGGACACAGCGUACCGUGCUAUCUCCGGAGAUCUGAAGCACGCUCACAACAUAUACUGUACUGAACUAGGCUAGGACCAGCAGUCUCCUUGUCCUCCCGCGACGAAGUGCGUGAAGGCGGGGGUUUAUCUGACAGGACACACGGCAAUACACAGCAGCCCACAGCAAUAUACAACACCACGUCAAAAUUAUAGGUUUUCACAGCACGAAGACUCACCCACCACACUCAGUGUACGAAAAGGACACCCGUCUUCCUUCACUUCGCUUGGUUCGGAUCUGGCGAUGGAAUAUGCGGCCUAGCUAGUGAUGUCGUCGUUGUGACUACUUCAAUAAGUAUUCCUUCGGCUCUCCCACC
ensembl:lncRNA